rnacentral:lncRNA from 1 species
UUUCAAAAAUCGGAGCAAACAAUUUUACAGAGCAUGUACCUUCACCCAACUGACAAUUGCUCGACUUGCAUAUAUAAAGAACUCAAACAUGAAGGCAGCAACCAGCUUACUGCUUCUGGUUCAACAACAGCUUACAUACAUACAGAUCACCAUGCAUGCUAGUACCAGGUAACGGUGCAACGACAGACAAGUUUAAUCCUUCUCAAAGACACUGGAAAUUCAAAAUAAACCUCAUGCAUAGAUUUCUUUGCCGUUCCUCACCAUCACCAUGUAGCCAGGCCCCUGGGUGGGGUGGAGAGAGAAUAAUGAGAUUAAUUAAUUAAUCAUAACGUAGCUGAAAAGCAGUUAGACACAAGGGUAACAGUCAAUCUCCCCAUAUAAGAACAGUUAUGCCAAUCAACAUUAAUUUCGCUGGUUAUUUCACUUGUUGAUCAACUAAAGAUUCAUCUACCAUUGAACUAAAUUCCUAGAACUUGCAAAGAAGAAAUCUAACAGGAUAAGAAAAGUUCAACUUUCAUGAGUAAAACUCAACAUGGCGACAGAAUUCUGUAUGUUCCAUGAAACUACAUCAAUCUAUAUUGGUUAUUACAGGCAAAGCAAUAUGGUAAAAUGCUCCAUCUCACAUUUAACUUGUGUCGCCUUUAUAGCAGCUAAAGUAGCAGUGAUCGCCCAACCUCUGCAGCAGAUGCUUCAACCAAGUAAUCAACACAUUUGCUCGAUCUUCUGCGCACACAAAAAAAUUAAGUUCGAAACACAUGGUAGAUCACAUUUAUUAUGAACAGAAGACCGUGCAAAGAAAGAUGGCAGCACAAGUCUAGGACAGAAGUAAUGCAAAC